UACGUAGGGGGCGAGCGUUGUCCGGAUUUAUUGGGCGUAAAGAGCGUGUAGGCGGCCAGGUAGGUCUGCUGUGAAAACUCGAGGCUCAACCUCGAGACGUCGGCGGAAACCAUCUGGCUAGAGUCCGGAAGAGGAGAGUGGAAUUCCAGGUGUAGCGGUGAAAUGCGUAGAUAUCUGGAGGAACACCGGUGGCGAAGGCGGCAUCCUGGACCGACACUGACGCUGAGGAGCGAAAGCCAGGGGAGCAAACGGG
rnacentral:rRNA from 1 species